ACUCAGAUAAACUGCUGCCCUAGCCACAUGAGUAAAACUCUGAUCUGAAUGGGCCAAUCAGACUGCUUCACUUUUCUUGCCAAAAUGAUUUGGCUUAAAGAGUUGUGUUAGGCAGAACUAUGACCUCCCAAGGACAGUCGCAUCCUGAUCCCAAGAAGCUCUGAAUGUGUUAUGUUACAUGGCAAAAGGGAAUUCAAGUGGCAGAUAGAAUUGAAGUUGUUAAUCAACUCACUUUAAAAUAGAGAGAGUACCUUGGAUUACCCAGGUGGACCCAAUGUAAUCACAAGCAUACUUAAAAAUGGAAGAGGUACACAGAAGAGAAGUUUGGAUCAAUAUGAUAUGAAAACUCAAUCUGCUGUUGUUGGCUUUGAACUUGGAGGAAGGGGGCCAUGGACACAGGAAUGCAGGUGACCUCUAGAAGCUAGAAAACCAAGGAGAUGCAUUUUCCCUUAGAGCCUCCAGAAAGGAAUAAAGUUCUACUGGCAUCUUGAUUUUGGCUCAGAGAUCGAUUUCAGACUUCCAAACUGCAGAACCAUAAGAGGAGAAAAUAUACAAAGAGAAGAUGAAGAGACAACCAAAUUUACUCGUCAAAACAAGUUUCACAGCUCCUCCUGCUCCAGAAGGUUCCGUUUGCUUUAUGAAAAUGAAGCUGUCUUGUUUUCUGGUUCAUAAAUCAUUGUCAAGCGGAGCUAGAUAACAGAAACAAGUUCAGAUUCUGGAAUGAUUAUCCUUAGAGAUGAUGUAUUAAAUAUACAGAAUACAACUUGAUUUUCAUAAGCCACGUUGACUUUGCAGAACUAAGGCUGCAGGGGAAAAUUAUUUCAUAAGAGGAGGGGUGAGAGCUCGCAAAAUCUAACCAGGUGGGAACGAUGGGAGAGGGAAGGAAGUAGAGCAUUUUCACAUGUAAAGAUGUGUCUGCUUUCUCCAGUUUUCUCUCUAUUAUUUACCUAAUGUCAUUUAAGCAUUUGGUGCCUCUGUCUUCUAUUAACAAUAUGGGAAGCAUCUUUAGAAAAGAAGAGCUUCUCCUUCUUCCUAGAUUAACUACCGCUUUUCUUUCAUCCUCUUCUCUGAAUAUUGUGGUAUCAUGUAAAAUAUUUCUUCUACCUCUUCGUAACUUAACCUCUCCCCCUGCAAUGAGCUUGGUUUGAGUUGUACUUUUGGAGUUCCAUAUCUCAUACCCAGUAGGCUUUCUAAUGCCUCACCAGAGCCGCACAAUCCACGGGAGUGAAAUCUGGAGAAAAAUCACAGUGGAGUGAGAAAGAGUCACAGAAAUACCCUGAGAUCAGAAGUGUCUUUGUGGUAACUCAGGGAACAGGUUUCUUGCCACUGAAUGGUGCUGAAGCUGAUUUCCUUCUGAAUGAAGACUUCAGACCACCAAGCCAACUUAAAAAUGUAUUUUGCUGAAAAAGAGAGGUUUCUUCUGUGUAAAAUGUAUUUUACUUCCUAUUCAACUGCUUAGUUCCUAUUGGAGCUCUGUAUUAGUCUGUUCUCACGCUGCUAAUAAAGACAUACCCGAGACUGGGUAAGUAAUAAAGAAAAAGAGGUUUAAUGAUCUCACAGUUCCACGUGGCUGGAGAGGCCUCCCAAUCAUGGCAGAUGGAAAAAGCAUGUCUUACAGGGUGGCAGACAAGAGAAAAUGAGAAACAAGUGAAAAAGGUUUCCCCUUAUAAAACCAUCAGUUCUUGUGAAACUUAUUCACUACCACGAGAACAGUAUGGGAGAAACCACCCUUGUGAUUCAAUUAUGUCCCAACGGGUCCCUCCCACAACGUGUGGGAUUAUGGGAGCUACAAUUCAAGAUGAGAUUUGGGUGAGGACAAAGCUAAACCACAUCAAGCUCCAAAUCUCAUUUCAGACAUGAAGCCUCCUCUCC
rnacentral:lncRNA from 10 species